CAAGAGAGAUAUUUCUCGACAGGAAACGACAUUAGACCCGAUUACACGAGUUUGCCGGCUGUUUAAGAUUCUAAUAUAGUACGUGGGCUUUCAUGUUUACGAAAACGUUAUUUAACUGUUAUCGUCCUUAUUACGUGAGCGCGCGUUAAGUUAAGUGUUAAUGUUUGUAUUUUAAGACCCAACUCGAGAUCUUGCAUUACACAACAAGACGAAGAGAAACACGGACGGAGAAGGAUAAAAUAAGAAGAGUGUGUGCUGUAAGCCUUGAAAAAAGAAAGAGAGAGAACGGGAAUAAACGCGGACAGUGUAAACGGAGAAAACAAUAACAAAAGAAAAUUUAAAAUUGUGUGUGAAAAUGGCUGCGUCGACAAUGGCGCAAGACCAUUUUGAGACAGAUUUUAGAGAAGUUUUAUUCCAAAAGUAUCAUCAGUGUCCGAAAUACCUGAUGCCAAAGAAUGUUUAUUAUAACACCAACGAAGAACUAAAGACUGCAGCCCAGAACCCAUCUUCCAGGUCUCGGCAUGGAUACGACAUUCUCCAGAAGUAUGAAGUUCUUCAGUUUGGAAGAAAAUCUGAUCAAGAAACGCAAGAGUGUAGAUGAAUCACCAGUCUACUAUGUGGCCAUGGAGGAUACUUAGGACAUCAUCAAGAGGGCGCACAUUUCAACAUGGUAUGGUGGAUGUGACAGAAUGAAGUGCAGUCUUGGGGCAAAGUAUGUAACAUCACAUUAUUCAAGUCCUAUUGCAUCAGAUGCCAAGAAAAUAGGAAGCGAAGUAAGACUACUGGGGUUGUUGUGAAGCCCCUCUUGAGCAGUGAAUUCAACGCCCGUGGAUAUGCAGCCACUGCCUCAGGUUCAGUUCAAGUGGAUCAUGGUCGACCAGUGUCACUCCACCAAGUUUGUCAUACUUCGAGCACUCACAUCAAAGAGAACUGCUGAAGUUGCCUUUCAACUGCUUGACACACAUUCCUUCUGUUUGGAGCUCCUGUCAUACUGCAAGACUAAAAAUGGUUUUGAAUUCACAGCUAAAGUUAUCUCAGAGCUGAAAGAACUUUGGCCACAACUCAUCAUGGUCCACGGUAAACCAAGACAUCCACAAAGCCAGGGUUCAGUAGAACGAGCCAAUGGUGACAUCAAGGAUUGGUCUUCUGGCCUUCGUUUUGUUCAACACCAAAAGAACUGCUCAUCAUUUCGGUAUCAAGCGCACUCCAUUCAAAGCAUUGUUUGGCGCUGAUCCUAGGGUGGGUCAGGCAGCGUCGAGUCUUCCUCUAGAAGUCAGAAGACUUGCUCGUCCUCUUUGCUAGCCCUUCAGAAGAUAAAGUUCUUACUCAAGAUCCCCCGCCCCUACCAGCAUCUGCAGCAGCAGCUCCCACCUCUCAGCCAACACCUGCUCAAGACGCCCAACCUUCACCUCUUACGAAACGCCAGAGUGAGAUAACAGAACGGAGGAAGUGGGUCAGGGAGGCACAACUCUCCCAGGCUGAACGCAUGGUGAAACGCAACCGGAUAGACUUCAAGGCAGGGGAAGAAGGGGCGAUGUUGUUGUGCCCAUCCCCAUGGUGGAGAGGGGAAAGGGAGAUCCACGUAACAUCCUCGGUGUUAUCAUUGGCCGCAGUGACAAUGAUUUGUACACAAUUGCUGUGAAGAAUGUGAUUCUGAAGACCAAGUACUCACCAGUCAGUUUGAUGUUUAUCCUCAGAGACUUCUUAAUCUGUCUGAUGUUAACCAAGAAGACCUAGUUUCCCUACGACAAGCUCUCAAGAAAUCAACUACUAGAGGACAGAUGUGAUUGUGCUGCAAGGAAGAAGUGUUGUACUAGCAGAUGUAAAUGUUACAAGGCUAAUCUCAAGUGUAAAAGCCGUUGUCAUAGUAGUACCACAUGUCGAAAGAAGUAAAUGUCAAAUUGUUGUCUAAAAUUUGUUGAUGUCUAUGAUUUGUAUGUAUUUGACUGUACCUGUGUAUGUAUUUCACCUGAAAUAAAGUUUUUCAAUUAGGCUGCGA